CAGACAGUUGGACUGGGGGUGUGAGAGAACCAGACAGUUGGACUGGGGGAGUGAGAGAACCAGACAGUUGGACUGGUGGAGUGAGAGAACCAGACAGUUGGACUGGUGGAGUGAGAGAACCAGACAGUUGGACUGGUGGAGUGAGAGAACCAGACAGUUGGACUGGUGGAGUGAGAGAACCAGACAGUUGGACUGGUGGAGUGAGAGAACCAGACAGUUGGACUGGGGGUGUGAGAGAACCAGACAGUUGGACUGGGGAGUGAGAGAACCAGACAGUUGGACUGGGGAGUGAGGGAACCAGACAGUUGGACUGGUGGAGGGAGAGAACCAGACAGUUGGACUGGGGUGUGAGAGAACCAGACAGUUGGACUGGGGAGUGAGAGAACCAAACAGUUGGACUGGGGGUGUGAGAGAACCAGACAGUUGGACUGGGGGAGUGAGAGAACCAGACAGUUGGACUGGGGAGUGAGAGAACCAGACAGUUGGACUGGGGUGUGAGAGAACCAGACAGUUGGACUGGUGGAGUGAGAGAACCAGACAGUUGGACUGGUGGAGGGAGAGAACCAGACAGUUGGACUGGGGGAGUGAGAGAACCAGACAGUUGGACUGGGGAGUGAGAGAACCAGACAGUUGGACUGGUGGAGUGAGAGAACCAGACAGUUGGACUGGGGGUGUGAGAGAACCAGACAGUUGGACUGGGGAGUGAGAGAACCAGACAGUUGGACUGGGGGAGUGAGAGAACCAGACAGUUGGACUGGGUGAGUGAGAGAGCCAGACAGUUGGACUGGGGGAGUGAGAGAACCAGACACUUGGACUGGGGGUGUGAGAGAACCAGACAGUUGGACUGGGGUGUGAGAGAACCAGACAGUUGGACUGGGGGAGUGAUAGAACCAGACAGUUGGACUGGGGGAGUGAGAGAACCUGACAGUUGGACUGGGGGAGUGAGAGAACCAAACAGUUGGACUGGGAGUGUGAGAGAACCAAACAGUUGGACUGGGGGUGUGAGAGAACCAGACAGUUGGACUGGGGGUGUGAGAGAACCAGACAGUUGGACUGGGGGAGUGAGAGAACCAGACAGUUGGACUGGGAGUGUGAGAGAACCAAACAGUUGGACUGGGGGUGUGAGAGAACCAGACAGUUGGACUGGGAGUGUGAGAGAACCAGACAGUUGGACUGGGAGUGUGAGAGAACCAGACAGUUGGACUGGGGGAGUGAGAGAACCAGACAGUUGGACUGGGGAUGUGAGAGAACCAAACAGUUGGACUGGGGGUGUGAGAGAACCAGACAGUUGGACUGGGGGUGUGAGAGAACCAGACAGUUGGACUGGGGGAGUGAGAGAACAAGACAGUUGGACUGGGGGUGUGAGAGAACCAAACAGUUGGACUGGGGGUGUGAGAGAACCAGACAGUUGGACUGGGAGUGUGAGAGAACCAGACAGUUGGACUGGGGAGUGAGAGAACCAGACAGUUGGACUGGGGGUGUGAGAGAACCAGACAGUUGGACUGGGGGUGUGAGAGAACCAGACAGUUGGACUGGGGGAGUGAGAGAACCAGACAGUUGGACUGGGAGUGUGAGAGAACCAAACAGUUGGACUGGGGGUGUGAGAGAACCAGACAGUUGGACUGGGAGUGUGAGAGAACCAGACAGUUGGACUGGGGAGUGAGAGAACCAGACAGUUGGACUGGGGGUGUGAGAGAACCAGACAGUUGGACUGGGGGAGUGAGAGAACCAGACAGUUGGACUGGGGAG
rnacentral:lncRNA from 1 species